CUCCUACGGGAGGCAGCAGUGGGGAAUAUUGCACAAUGGGCGAAAGCCUGAUGCAGCCAUGCCGCGUGUGUGAAGAAGGCCUUCGGGUUGUAAAGCACUUUCAGCGAGGAGGAAAGCUUAGUCGUUAAUACCGGCUAGGUGUGACGUUACUCGCAGAAGAAGCACCGGCUAACUCCGUGCCAGCAGCCGCGGUAAUA
rnacentral:rRNA from 1 species